ACAUUCCUAGCAUGUUGGUUA
rnacentral:miRNA from 1 species